rnacentral:rRNA from 1 species
GACGCAAGUCUGAUGGAGCAACGCCGCGUGAGUGAAGAAGGGUUUCGGCUCGUAAAGCUCUGUUGGUAGUGAAGAAAGAUAGAGGUAGUAACUGGCCUUUAUUUGACGGUAAUCAACCAGAAAGUCACGGCUAACUACGUGCCAGCAGCCGCGGUAAUUCCGGAUUUAUUGGGCGUAAAGCGAGUGCAGGCGGUUCAAUAAGUCUGAUGUGAAAGCCUUCGGCUCAACCGGAGAAUUGCAUCAGAAAC